GGGGUGUAGCUCAAUGGAUAGAGUACCGCACUACGAAUGCGUUGGUUGGAGGUUCGAAUCCUCUCACCCU
rnacentral:tRNA from 1 species